UACAGAGGUCCCAAGCGUUGUUCGGAUUCACUGGGCGUAAAGGGUGCGUAGGCGGUCGGGUAAGUCUGAUGUGAAAUCUCACAGCUUAACUGUGAAACUGCAUUGGAUACUAUUCGGCUUGAGAGUUGGAGGGGGGACUGGAAUUCUUGGUGUAGCAGUGAAAUGCGUAGAUAUCAAGAGGAACACCGGUGGCGAAGGCGGUUCUCUGGGCCUUACCUGACGCUGAGGAGCGAAAGCGUGGGGAGCGAACAGG
rnacentral:rRNA from 1 species